rnacentral:rRNA from 1 species
GCAAGUCGACUUGAAGCUUACUUUAGGUGGCGAACGGGUGAGUAACGCGUAGAUAAUCUGCCCUUUAGUAUGGGAUAAGCUUUGGAAACGAAGUCUAAUACCGGAUGGUAUCUUAGGAGUUCCUGCUCCUUAGAUUAAAGAUCACGAAUUGCUAAAGGAUGAAUCUGCGUGAUAUUAGUUAGUUGGUGAGGUAACGGCUCACCAAGGCGACGAUAUCUAGCUGGUCUGAGAGGAUGAUC